rnacentral:rRNA from 1 species
GGCGAACGUUAGCGGCGCGCCUAACACAUGCAAGUCGCACGAGAAAGGGAGCAAUCCCCGGUACAGUGGCGCACGGGUGAGUAACACGUAGAUGACCUUCCCUGGAGUGGUGGAUAACCUGCCGAAAGGCGGGCUAAUACAGCAUGGGACCACAUGGUUUUGACCGAGUGGUGAAAGCGGGCCUCUGUUCACAAGCUCGCGCUCUGGGAUGGGUCUGCGUCCCAUCAGCUAGUUGGUGAGGUAAUGGCUCACCAAGGCAUCGACGGGUAGCUGGUCUGAGAGGAUGACCAGCCACACUGGAACUGAGACACGGUCCAGACUCCUACGGGAGGCAGCAGUGGGGAAUCUUGCGCAAUGGGCGAAAGCCUGACGCAGCGACGCCGCGUGGGUGAUGAAGGCCUC